AUCCUUUUCAGAUUUGCUUUAAAUGCUUUAGUUUCUGAGAUUUUAGCCAAAAACUGCAUUUUACCCUAUGUACUAUUAUUAGUCAUGUCUGCCAUCUUGGUUGGUAGACAGGGUCAUCGAACACAUUUUUUAAACUAGCCCAGUAGUUUCAGAGGAGAAGAUUUUUGUAAAAGAUUACUAAGAUUUACGAAAAAUGGUUAAAAAUUGACUAUAAAGGGCAAUAACUCCUAAAAGGGUCAACUGACCAUUUCGGUCAUGUAGACUUAUUUGUUAAUCUUACUUUGCUUAACAUUAUUGCUGUUUACAGUUUAUCUCUAUCUAUAAUAAUGUUCAAGAUAAUAACCAAGAACAGCA
rnacentral:lncRNA from 1 species